rfam:Domibacillus antri strain XD80 WGS_contig_15, whole genome shotgun sequence.
CAACGAUAAUGGCAAACUUAUCGAAAGGUAAGGACGCAAAGCUACGGGUCUAAGGCUAUAACUGCUAUGAUCGCCGGGUUACCGAA